rnacentral:rRNA from 1 species
UGGGGAAUCUUGCGCAAUGGGCGAAAGCCUGACGCAGCCAUGCCGCGUGAAUGAUGAAGGUCUUAGGAUUGUAAAAUUCUUUCACCGGGGACGAUAAUGACAGUACCCGGAGAAGAAGCCCCGGCUAACUUCGUGUCAGCAGCCGCGGUAAUACGAAGGGGGCUAGCGUUGCUCGGAAUUACUGGGCGUAAAGGGAGCGUAGGCGGACAUUUAAGUCAGGGGUGAAAUCCCGGGGCUCAACCUCGGAAUUGCCUUUGAUACUGGGUGUCUUGAGUGUGAGAGAGGUAUGUGGAACUCCGAGUGUAGAGGUGAAAUUCGUAGAUAUUCGGAAGAACACCAGUGGCGAAGGCGACAUACUGGCUCAUUACUGACGCUGAGGCUCGAAAGCGUGGGGAGCAAACAGGAUUAGAUACCCUGGUAGCCCACGCCGUAAAACGAUGAUUGCUAGUUGUCGGGAUGCAUGCAUUUCGGUGACGCAGCUAACGCAUUAAGCAAUCCGCCUGGGGAGUACGGUCGCAAGAUUAAAACUCAAAUGAAUUGACGGGGUCAUAGCUGUUUCCUG